ACCUGCGCAUAAAUAAACCUGACGUCACAUCCGCUGCAGCCCAGCUCUCUUGGAUCUACUGCUUGCCGCGGAGCGCUCAGACUGAUGGUGAACUACGGCAGCACAAUGGAAAGGACCAAAAAGACGAUGCCACGUGUUGCCCCGCUCAGAGCCCCUGACUGACAUCUGAUGCUGAGGUGGGAGAUUGACCACCAGGUGUGAAGUCAGGAGCAGAGAAAGUCCUGACUACCUCUUCUGUUUGACAGACGUUGGUCGUAUCAAAGCCAGGAGGCGCCAUCUGCGAGGUGGAGGAGCGUGAGGAAGAUGAAGCCCAUAUUUGGAAAACCAAACCCGCCGGAAAAUUCCCAGUGUGAUGCACGAGUUUGGCAAGACUGAAGCUUUUUGGGCACCAAAUAAGACCUGAGGAUGUCUCCUGCGUCAGCGUGGCUCGCUGAAAGCACCAGACAGUAGUGUCGUUGUAGUGACAACUGGUAGGCCUUAUACUUUGGAGAGAUGAGGUGUUUGUAAAAAUGAAAAUAUGAGCAGUACAGAGUGGUAAAAUAGACCAAUCAGUUGCAGUUACAAUUUUUUGGAGAGGUGCACAUGAACAAGGUUUUUCCUGUGGUUAAGGUUAGGUGAAGUGUGUGGGAGGCAUUUUGAUGCAGAAGUGUAAAUUGACCAUCAGUGUUACAAGAGUAAGAUUUAGGUUGGAGUGGAUGAUCAUGGAAUUGAAUGCAACUCUUCUAGACUUCACAGAUUGUUCUGUACCUGUAUUUCAUUAAAUUGUGGUAAUCCUG